ACGAACGCUGGCGGCGUGCUUAACACAUGCCAGUCGAACGGUGAAGGGACCAGCUUGCUGGUUCUGGAUGAGUGGCGAACGGGUGAGUAACACGUGAGUAACCUGCCCCCUUCUUCUGGAUAACCGCAUGAAAGUGUGGCUAAUACGGGAUAUUCUGGGUCUGUCGCAUGGCGGGCCCGGGAAAGAUAUUGCUUCGGUGGGGGAUGGGCUCGCGGCCUAUCAGCUUGUUGGUGGGGUGAUGGCCUACCAAGGCGGUGACGGGUAGCCGGCCUGAGAGGGUGGACGGUCACACUGGGACUGAGACACGGCCCAGACUCCUACGGGAGGCAGCAGUGGGGAAUAUUGCACAAUGGGCGCAAGCCUGAUGCAGCGACGCCGCGUGAGGGAUGGAGGCCUUCGGGUUGUAAACCUCUUUCGCCAGUGAAGCAGGCCUGCUCCUUGUGGGUGGGUUGACGGUAGCUGGAUAAGAAGCGCCGGCUAACUACGUG
rnacentral:rRNA from 1 species